rnacentral:rRNA from 1 species
AUUGAACGCUGGCGGCAUGCCUUACACAUGCAAGUCGAACGGUAACAGGUCUUCGGAUGCUGACGAGUGGCGAACGGGUGAGUAAUACAUCGGAACGUGCCUAGUAGUGGGGGAUAACUACUCGAAAGAGUGGCUGAUACCGCAUGAGAUCUACGGAUGAAAGCAGGGGAUCGCAAGACCUUGUGCUACUAGAGCGGCCGAUGGCAGAUUAGGUAGUUGGUGGGAUAAAAGCUUACCAAGCCGACGAUCUGUAGCUGGUCUGAGAGGACGAGCAGCCACACUGGGACUGAGACACGGCCCAGACUCCUACGGGAGGCAGCAGUGGGGAAUUUUGGACAAUGGGCGCAAGCCUGAUCCAGCAAUGCCGCGUGCAGGAUGAAGGCCUUCGGGUUGUAAACUGCUUUUGUACGGAACGAAAAGCCCUGGGUUAAUACCCUGGGGUCAUGACGGUACCGUAAGAAUAAGCACCGGCUAACUACGUGCCAGCCGCCGCGGUAAUAC